CUUUGAAGAAAAAUAUUUUUGUAUAAAUUUUGUGUAGCCCAAGUAUACAGUGUUGAUAAAAUCUACAGUAGUGUAGUCGUGUCCUGGGGCCUCACAUUCACUCACCACUCACUGACUCACCCAGAGCAACUGCCAGUCCUGCAAGUUCCACUCAUGGGUCUGUCAGUUCUGAAGCAAUGAUCUGAUAUUGUUUUUACAUCCCUGGGACCGCUGAGGGAGAAAAAUUUAUUUACAAAAUGGACCAAGCUCUGCCCUCACUUACAGACAAGUCAAAGCAGCCAGAGGCCUCCUGUUCACACUCAGGAACACUGAACUGUGAGUCAGAAUGUUGGGUUGAGAUCUGGCACUGACUGGCUGACAGCCUGGGUCUGCCAUUUGUCCUCUCUUGAGCCACCAGCACAACACAAUGUACUUGAUAAAAGAUGCCACUGUAAACCUGAAAGCCUUUUGCAAGGCUAUUGUGUGGCUCCAAUAAGAAAAACUGUAGAAAAAUGCUUUGAAGAAAAAUGGUUUGAAGAAUACGUCUCCAUCCUGAAAACAAAAUAUGCAGAAGGAAAACUUCCACUCUACUAUGAUCAUGGCACUGAAUAUUAGAAGAAUGCAGAAACCAACUGUAGGUACAUGUACCUUCUCAAUUUCUCUUAUAAGCAGAAGAGGACUGGGAUGUACCCUUUGGCUUCCAUGGUGGUCCAGCCUGGAGCUGUUUUCCCUGUUGUACACAGAAGAUGGUUUUCUUCUCUAAAUGUUGGGAAACCUCUUCCUUUCCUACUAUGGAAAAAGUAUGAGGCAACCCCCAACCAGGAGGAGGUGUGGCUGCAGGCAGCAGGUAGAACCAAAGUCAGUCUCAGGAACAGCAGUUCCAAUGAAGAAGUUUGCAAUAGCAAUUAGAAGAAUGACCAGAAGAAUGACUUGGGCCUGGAAUGGAAAGUGCUAACUGCAGGAGUUCGAGAAUGCAGAAUGAUGAAUACAAUUCCUGUGAUUCCCAGUGCACUUGACGUCAGGCUGCCGCUGUGUGCUCAGCACAAGCAGUCUGCAAAGUUGACUGGUCAGAUGGUCUUCCUUCAGCCCCUCCAAUGCUGCAAGGUGUUUAUGGCUUGGUGUUGCCAU